rnacentral:rRNA from 1 species
GACGAACGCUGGCGGCGUGCCUAACACAUGCAAGUCGUGCGAGAAAGUUCCUUCGGGAGCGAGUAAAGCGGCGCACGGGUGAGUAACACGUAGGUAACCUGCCCCCCCAGUCUGGAACAACUAGAGGAAACUCUAGCUAAUGCCGGAUGAGACCACGAUCCCUUCGGGGGUUGCGGCCAAAGAUGGCCUCUACUUGUAAGCUAUCGCUGAGGGAUGGGCCUGCGGGCCAUUAGCUUUGUUGGUGAGGUAACGGCUCACCAAGGCUGUGAUGGCUAGCUGGUCUGAGAGGAUGACCAGCCACACUGGGACUGGAGACACGCCCAGACUCCUACGGGAGGCAGCAGUGGGAAUAUUGCGCAAUGGGCGAAAGCUGACGCAGCGACGCCGCGUGGGUGAUGAAGGCC